CGCUUCUCGCCCUCAGGGGGAGUAUUACGGGGCCAGGGACGUUGGAGGGGUUUCCACGUGACUCCAGCUGGAACACCACUACAGAGCGUAUCUGGGUGGGUUGGGCACACACCGUCGCGGCGGCCCCUGAUGGCAUCCACAAAGGUCCGAGACCCUCCUAAGCUCCUAGCCGUAGCAGAACUACGUAUUUCAGCACCCGAAGGACUAACAACCCAGCCGGCAUCUGCAGCGUAUAUCCAACGCGAUCAAACUUCACUCUGACAAGUAACUUCCUAUACACAACCACGCCGUCCUUUCGCCCGGACCAGCCCCGCACUCUUUCCGCCCGCUACCUAGCGGUCGCCGGAUCAGCAGAGCCUGCGGACUCUUCGGAGGCUGGUCUUCGUUGUGCUGCCCAAGGCGGAAGUUGACUCGCCCGAAAAUCGACCCUUCCAGUAACUUCUACCUUCUCUCUUUAUAUCCUCCUCCAUGGCGUGGCUCGCCCAACCAUCGCUCGCCACGUCACUUACACAGCUGUGCCUUGUUUCAGCAAGUGCGGGGAUUCCCGGGGAACCCUGAAGUGCCGGUGUCUCUACAAACCGGUCCGGGCGGAACCCCUUCACUCUCCUUUUGGUUCCGCCCCGCAUAGUCACUCCGUGACAACUGUUUGCGUUUUUUUUUCUCCUCAAUGUUCAAUACCCUUUUGCCAUUAAGCACACAGUGACUUUAAUUUAUAAAAUAUAUGCUUAAGUUUUAAUACCUGUACAAAACAAAUGUACAAUCAACUUGUGUAAAUUUUAAUAAAAAUUUAAGCUUUAAUUGCUUGUUCAUGUUAGUUCAGAGUGCAUUAACUAAUGUUAACAAGAUUUUAAUAAAGUAAUUGUUGAAAUUAACAUUAACAAAGAUUAAUAAAGGCUGUAUAAGUGCAGUUCAUUAUUAGUUCAUGUUAACUAAUGUAGCUAACUAAUGUUAACUAAUGAACCUUAUUGUAAAGUGUUACCGUGAUUUCUUUUCAUUAUUUCAGACACAUGUAAAAGUUACUAAAAAUUAGUACUGCAUAUACUGUACAGUAUCUAUGCGUAAGGGAAAUAACUUGAACAAAAUUUUUAAUGUAUAGUGUAAUUAAGAGUUUAGCUGUUUAAUACAGAGAUGCAAUUUAUUUAUAUAUAUUAUUUAUAUAUAAACGUAUGUAUGUUUAUUAAAAAGUGAAAAUGCUUAAUGGAAAUAAUUAAAUAACUAAAUGGUUGAAUGUAAUGAGACAUUUUAAAUGUAAACUAAAGUUUUGCUGUCUAAUACAGAAUAAAGAGAUGUGAUUUUAAGUAA